rnacentral:sRNA from 1 species
UCAAGCAUUUGAUCAAUGAAUGGUAAAGGAAAAUGAUCUUUUCUAGAUGCAGCAUUUAACUUUCUAUAAUCGAUACACAUUCUAUGACCAGUUAUAGUUCUAGUAGGGAUCAAUUCAUCAUUUUCAUUUUUAACAACAGUCAUUCCACCCUUUUUAGGGACGCAAUGCUCUGGAGAAACCCAAGUACUAUCAGAGAUAGGGUAGAUGACACCAGCAUCAAGCAGUUUCAAAAUGUCCUUUUCACUACUUCUUUCAAGUUUGGAUUUAACCUCCUCUGUGGUUCAAUGCUAGAGUAGGAUUCGUUUUCAAGGUGGAUCCUAUGGUUGCAUAAACUAGGUGAAAUUCCCUUAAUGUCAGAUAAUGAAUAACCAAUCGCUCUCCUAUACUUUCUAAGUUCAGCUAAUAGCACGUUCACUUCAUCAUCAUUUAACUCAGCAUUAAUGAUCACAAGGUAAGUAGAGUUUGGACCAAGGAAUGCGUACCUUAGACCUUUAGGAAGUGGUUUGAGAUCAACCUUUGGUGCCUUGAGUUCAAACAAGUCAUCUAAAGUUGGAAUGAUCAGCUCUCCAGAGUCGUUGGCAGUCGAGGUCGAGUCAUUGGUCGAGUAUGCUCUCGAGUGUGCAGGUUGAACUCGUGUUGACCCUUCUUCGCUCAUUACCAUUACCUCUGUUGCUGGUCCAUUCAAUUCCUCAAAAGGUUCUGAUUCUUCCAUCGCUUUAUGGGAGUCUAACAGCUUCUGGUAUCCCAAUGUUUCCAAAUGUAGAAACCCAUCUUCACCACUUUUUGUUAAAGCACUGUUGAGAUUGAUAGUAGGAUUUUUCUCAAUUAAUCCUAAAACACUAUCCUGUCGUUGUAGUAUUUUAGGAUGUCAAUCCAAUCCGGUGUGAUGCAAACAGAUGAGAUAUGAUCAGAAAGCUUUAAGUCAAGCCAAGCAGAGAGUUGGUUGGUUCUAACAGUCCUAGUAUGCAAUAACAGAAAUGAAAUGAAACUAAGACUAGAAAUGGCAAUAGCAGGCAGGUGAAUAACAAAGCAGAAAUGAUAACUGGCAAUCAAAUGGAUAAACGAUUCCUAAGGAUGGGGUAAUCGAAUAGUGUGGUCUCCUUAAUCUAUUCAAGCGGUUGACAAAACUUCACAGAAGCUAUCCCUAGACAACAAGUUCAACAACAGAUUAAUUCACUCCCGUGAUAGAAAUCCUCAAGCAAAGCUAGACACUGACCUAAAUCCCUUUAGCGAUCUCUAACUAAGCAGGCAUUAUCGAAUCAACAUGUUAAAGCCAAUACCCUCUCUACAGUCAAUCCCUUGGGGUAGAGUCAGAUAUCUCUGGAAUUAAUAUGAUCCAACGCCCAUUAAACGCCUUCUGAGCGCUGGACGUCUGGACUCAUAUUCCACAUUAGCCAAUGAAACAAGCAAUAAGCGCAACUAAUCCAGAAGGGAUUCUAGUAUUCUAAACUCAACCACCUAAAACGACGAAGUAAACCACAACUAAUCUAUCCCAUCCUCAGAAAUACAGUUCACUACUCAGACAUAAUCAAAGACAAUAGCAAAGCAACGAUUAAAAACAUGAUAAUAGAUAUGAUGAAAGACUAGACGAAAACUGAAAAUCAAAUACUUGAAAGUGAAAAUACAAAGUUGCAGGAGAAACACUGCGGCUAUGAAAGUUGCGAAAAUAUAAAAGCGAGAUAAAAACGGAUGCCCUAGGGAAAACCCUAAGAGGCAGUUUAUAUAAGCGAGAAACGAAACAAAUAAGGAAACUAAAUAUUAAGCGAAUCUUCACGUCAUGACCCCUCGACUGAAUGUGUCAUUGGCAUCUGACGGGCUGAAAUGAGCUUCCCAGUGAUCGAGUAUGUCAUUGAUCAAACUGGGCUUUAGGGGCUUCGUCUUGCGAUCGAGUGAGAUGCAGUGAAGUCGAGAUUCAAUGGUCCAGUGACCCUGUGAUCGAGUGCGAUCGAGUGGAUGUCAGGAGGUGGUGAUCGAGUGGUUUCUUCGGCUUCUCUUCUCUUCUUUGUUCUCAACUUGUCUGGUUGAGUGCAGAACGAGCACAUAGGUUUCUUGGUGGUCGAGUGGUGAUCGAGUAGUUCUGAUGGGGUGAUUCCUCCGGCUUCGCGAUUGAGUGAAACUGAGCUACUUGCUUCUACCCUGGCAGGGCUCCGAGGCUGCGAUAGAGUCUUUUGCUGAAGGCGUCAUUGGGCAUUCUGACUUCAUGUUCUGUUUUUCCUCUGUUUGAACUCCAAAAGCAUCCAAAGUACCUGAAAACAACCAAAUAUGCCAUGCACAUGCAAUCCUAAUGCAAAAUCGUCCUAACUAUGUAAAACACACUAAAACGACAUCUAAUGAGAUGAAAUGUGGAUGAAACAAUGACAAAGUGGUGAAGAAUGAAUGCCUAAAUCAUGCAAAUUAUAGACAUAUCAGAGAUGAUCUUCUUCUGCAAGCUCUUCCAGUAACUCAUCAGCUAACUGAUCCAUUUCUUUGAUCCAAAAGAGUAGCCCUUCUAUGGUAGGCUUCUUCAUCGCGUCUUUGACAUCAAAGGUCAUCCUAAAGUCUUUGCCAUGGUUUAGAUCAAUCUUCCCUUUCUUGACAUCAAUCAUAGCUUCUGCAGUUGCUAAGAAAGGUCUCCCUAGAAUCAAAGGGUCUUUGGGUUCUUCAUCCAUCUCCAGGACUACAAAGUCAGUUGGUAUCUCCACAGCUCCAAUCUUGAUUGGUAGAUUU